GCAGUGCCCUACUUAGAAAGGUGCUAGUCACUUACACUACAUGUCACUGUGUCCUUUCUGUGUAGAGUACAGCU
rfam:Nomascus leucogenys chromosome X, whole genome shotgun sequence.